rnacentral:rRNA from 1 species
UUAUCGGAAUGAGAACAAUUCAAAUCCUUUAACGAGGAUCUAGCGGAGGGCAAGUCUGGUGCCAGCAGCCGCGGUAAUUCCAGCUCCGCAGGUGUAUAUCUAUGCUGCUGCGGUUAAAAAGCUCGUAGUUGGAUCUGCGUGCUCGGAACUGGUUGGCUCACUGAGUUCAAACUGGUCUCCGGCGCUUUAUUGGCUGGUUUUCCCUUGAUGCUCUUAACCGGGUGUCUUGGGUGGCUAGCACGUUUACUUUGAAAAAAAUUAGAGUGCUCAAUACAGGCGUAAAGCCUUGAAUAGUGGUGCAUGGAAUAAUAGAAUAGGACCUCGGCUCUAUUUUGUUGGUUUUCGGAACGCGAGGUAAUGAUUAAGAGGGACAGACGGGGGCAUUCGUAUUGCGACGUUAGAGGUGAAAUUCUUGGAUCGUCGCAAGACGGACGACUGCGAAAGCAUUUGCCAAGAAUGUUUUCAUUAAUCAAGAACGAAAGUUAGAGGUUCGAAGGCGAUCAGAUACCGCCCUAGUUCUAACCGUAAACGAUGCCAACUAGCGAUUCGCAGGCGUUAAACAACGACCUUGCGGGCAGCUUCCCGGAAACGAAAGUGUUCGGGUUCCGGGGGAAGUAUGGUUGCAAAGCUGAAACUUAAAGGAAUUGACGGAAGGGCACCACCAGGAGUGGAGCCUGCGGCUUAAUUUGACCCAACACGGGAAAACUCACCCGGCCCGGACACCGUAAGGAUUGACAGAUUGAGAGCUCUUUCUUGAUUCGGUGGGUGGUGGUGCAUGGCCGUUCUUAGUUGGUGGAGCGAUUUGUCUGGUUUAUUCCGAUAACGAACGAGACUCUGGCCUACUAAAUAGUGGGCGGAUUCUUUCUGUCCGCAACACUUCUUAGAGGGACAAGCGGUGUUCAGCCGCACGAGAUUGAGCAAUAACAGGUCUGUGAUGCCCUUAGAUGUCCGGGGCUGCACGCGCGCUACACUGAAGGAAUCAGCGUGCUUUCUGACCUUGCCCGAAAGGGCUGGGUAACCCGAUGAAAAUCCUUCGUGAUUGGGAUAGGGACUUGCAAUUAUUUCCCUUGAACGAGGAAUUCCCAGUAAGUGUGGGUCAUAAGCUCGCGUUGAUUACGUCCCUGCCCUUUGUACACACCGCCCGUCGCUGCCCGGAACUGAGCCGUUUCGAGAAGAACAGGGACCGUCGUUGAAGGGCCUUAAUGGGCUUUUCUCUGAUAGAAACUGUUUUA